AUGAAUUUUGUGUGCGUUUUCCUCUUUCUGGUGGCAUCUCCAGGAGGUGUCCUGACCCAGGUGCAGCUACAAGAGUCAGGCCCAAGACUGGUGAAGCCCUCACAGACCCUGUCUCUCACCUGCACUGUCUCUGGGUUCUCUUUAACCAGCUACGAUGUGAACUGGAUCCGCCAGGCUCCAGGAAAGGGACUCCAGUGGGUUGGUGAUAUAUGGGGUGGUGGGAGCACCCACUAUAAUCCAGCUCUCCAGUCCAGAGUCAGCAUCACCAGGGACACCUCCAAGAGCCAAGUUUAUUUAAAACUGAACUCUGUGAUUCCUGAGGACACAGCCGUGUAUUACUGUGCAAGAGACACAGUGAUGAGAAGUCAGUGUGAGCCCAGACACAAACCUCCCUGCAACAGGCCAUGGUUUUGGCAGAUGCAAGAGAGAGAGGUCAGUGAUGCUUUCCUCUCAGAAGCUGUGGGUUCCCCACCUGCCAGCACUUCCCUAGGGACCACCAUGUACAGUGACUCUGGGGAAUCUUCAUGCAUCUGA